AAGUUGUAACAAGGGUUCCGUGCGGAAGGAUCAUUAACACGUAUCCAAACGUUCAAACCCCCCCGGUGAACCUUCAUCCUGCUCUUGUAAUCCGCGUACUUCGCAAUCUCUGAUAAAUCAUAGCCCGGAAAGUUGUAGUGAUUCAGAGACCUCUGGCUACGUGCGAACAUUGGAACAGUUACAAUCGAGCGGUAGUUCUAUAGGCAAUGUUUCCCCAAGCAGUCAGUGUCGGAAAGUGUCCAUGAUUGUGCAAGGAUAGCGCUUCUACGAUUCCUGUAGACCGUACACUCGGGCAGGAGCUUUGCCAAAGGGUCCCCAUGCCUGUAAUACAUUGGGUAAAAAAACCGAACAACUGUUAACAAUGGAUAUCUUGGUUCUC
rnacentral:misc_RNA from 1 species